rnacentral:rRNA from 1 species
UACUUUUUGUAGAACGGGCCAACGAGUUACGUUAAGUAGCAAGGUUAAGCACUUAAGGUGCGGAGCCGUAGCGAAAGCGAGUUUUAACUGAGCGUUCAGUUAUUUGACGUAGACCCGAAACCGGGCGACCUACCCAUGAGCAGGAUGAAGCGAAAGUAAAAUUUCGUGGAGGUCCGAACCCACGAGCGUUGAAAAGCUCGGGGAU